AUGGAGCCCUACGAGGCCGGCGGCGACCGGUGCCGCGUCCUGCCGGCGUGCGGCCACAUGUUCCACAGGCGCUGCCUCAGGGCGUGGCUGCGCACCAGCAGCACUUGCCCGCUCUGCAGGGCAUCCACAGAGCCGGCGCCGGCGCACCGCGGGCGGGCAACUCCGGUGUAG
rnacentral:rRNA from 1 species